rnacentral:misc_RNA from 1 species
GAUGAAGAACGUAGCGAAAUGCGAUAAGUAAUGUGAAUUGCAGAAUUCAGUGAAUCAUCGAAUCUUUGAACGCACAUUGCGCCCGCCAGUAUUCUGGCGGGCAUGCCUGUUCGAGCGUCAUUUCAACCAUCAAGCCCCCGGCUUGUGUUGGGGACCUGCGGCUGCCGCAGGCCCUGAAAACCAGUGGCGGGCUCGCUAGUCACUCCGAGCGUAGUAAUACAUCUCGCUCAGGGCGUGCUGCGGGUUCCGGCCGUUACAAAGCCUUAUUUCCCCAAGGUUGACCUCGGAUCAGGUAGGAAGACCCGCUGAACUUAAGCAUAUCAAUAAGCGGAGGA